GCCUGGGUGGCUCAGUAGGUUAGGUGUCUGACUUCGGCUCAGGUCACGAUCUCGCGGUCCGUGGGUUCGAGCCCCGCCUCUGGCU
rnacentral:tRNA from 1 species